GACUCACUAGCUCAAUUGGUAGAGCAUCUGACUCUUAAUCAGCAGGUUCGGAGUUCGAGUCUCCGGUGGGUCACCA
rnacentral:tRNA from 1 species